UCUUAGGGGUGCUAGGGUUCCGGUUCAUCAUCGAACGUCUGGUCCAAGAGCAGCCCGGCGCGAGUUCGUCCGGUCGCAAGACCGGAUGCACGCGUGCUACACGGCGGGACAAAAGCCCGGGAGAU
rnacentral:sRNA from 2 species